rnacentral:misc_RNA from 1 species
UCGCGUCUUAUCACCGGCAGUCUCAUUAGAGUGCCCUUGCGUAGCAACUAAUGAUAAGGGCUGCGCUCGUUGCGGGACUUAACCCAACAUCUCACGACACGAGCUGACGACGGCCAUGCAGCACCUGUGCAUACUGGUAUUGCUACCUCGUUAGGCUUUCACCCUUCUACUAUAUGCAUGUCAAGGCCAGGUAAGGUUCUUCGCGUAGCAUCGAAUUAAACCACAUGCUCCACCGCUUGUGCGGGCCCCCGUCAAUUCCUUUGAGUUUCAACCUUGCGGCCGUACUCCCCAGGCGGGGUGCUUAACGCGUUAGCUGCGACACUGACGAGCAAGCUCGCCAACGUCUAGCACCCAUCGUUUACGGCGUGGACUAC